rnacentral:misc_RNA from 1 species
AAAGAUGUAGUUGAGUAUUCUCCUUAUCUACCUUACCUUGCUCAAUGCGUACUCAUGAGACCAUUCUCUUAAUAUCAGCUGCUCUCUUUUUGCAUAUCGCACUUCAUCAUCUUUUCUAUUUUCAUCAUAUUUUACUCAGGCAAACACUCUCAAGACCUUAGCCUAAUCUGCACUUAUUUCUGUCAAGUGAUCAGUGGCGUCAAGAUACAUCUUUUAUUCCUAGGAUUUCCAUGAAACAUUCUCUCUAUCCAGUUUGGUGUUACAGAUAAUAGAGUUCAUUUAAAUCCCGAAAGCAGAAGUUAAUUCAAUCCAAGGAAGAGCCAUCAUGCCUUUUGGGUUGGUCUCCGCGUGGAACAAGCGCCGAAGAAGCAGGUCCCAAGAACACACAGAUCCCUGGGUUUACAAACCUGUGGAGUUUUGGCAACUCGAGGAGCAAACUCCCCAGGCCACACAAAGACACCAUGUAUCUUCAGUUUUCACACUCAAGGA